CCUGUUCGAGCGUCAUUAUGGCCACUCAAGCCUAGCUUGGUAUUGGGGUUCGCGGUCUCGCGGCCCUUAAAAUCAGUGGCGGUGCCAUCUGGCUCUAAGCGUAGUAAUUUAUCUCGCUAUUGGGCCUGGUGAUUGCUUGCCAACAACCCCCAACUUUUAAGGUUGACCUCGGAUCAGGUAGGGAUACCCGCUGAACUUAA
rnacentral:misc_RNA from 1 species